CCUCGGGAGGCAGCAGUGGGGAAUAUUGGACAAUGGGGGCAACCCUGAUCCAGCNAUGCCGCGUGCAGGAUGACGGCCCUAUGGGUUGUAAACUGCUUUUAUACAGGAAGAAACACUCCCACGUGUGGGGGCUUGACGGUACUGUACGAAUAAGGAUCGGCUAACUCCGUGCCAGCAGCCGCGGUAAUACGGAGGAUCCAAGCGUUAUCCGGAAUUAUUGGGUUUAAAGGGUCCGCAGGCGGUCUAUUAAGUCAGAGGUGAAAUCUUGCAGCUCAACUGUAAAAUUGCCUUUGAUACUGGUAGACUUGAGUCAUUGUGAAGUGGUUAGAAUGUGUAGUGUAGCGGUGAAAUGCAUAGAUAUUACACAGAAUACCAAUUGCGAAGGCAGAUCACUAACAAUGUACUGACGCUCAUGGACGAAAGCGUGGGGAGCGAACAGGAUUAGAUACCCUGGUAGUCCACGCCGUAAACGAUGGAUACUAACUGUUCGUCCCGCUUGCGGGAUGAGUGGUCAAGCGAAAGUGAUAAGUAUCCCACCUGGGGAGUACGCUCGCAAGAGUGAAACUCAAAGGAAUUGACGG
rnacentral:rRNA from 1 species